AGUGAACGCUGGCGGUAUGCCUAACACAUGCAAGUCGAACGGCAGCACAGUAAGAGCUUGCUCUUACGGGUGGCGAGUGGCGGACGGGUGAGGUAUACAUCGGAAUCUACUUUUUCGUGGGGGAUAACGUAGGUAAACUUACUCUAAUACCGCAUACGACCUACGGGUGAAAGCAGGGGAUCUUCUGACCUUGCGCGAUUGAAUGAGCCGAUGUCGGCUUAGCUAGUUGGCGGGGUAAAGGCCCACCAAGGCGACGAUCCGUAGCUGGUCUGAGAGGAUGGUCAGCCACCCUGGAACUGAGACACGGUCCAGACUCCUGCGGGAGGCAGCAGUGGGGAAUAUUGGACAAUGGAGGCAAGCCUGAUCCAGCCAUACCGCGUGGGUGAAGAAGGCCUUCGGGUUGGAAAGCCAUUUUGUUGGGAAAGAAAAGCAGCAGGUUAAUACCCCGCUGUUCUGACGGUACCCAAAGAAUAAGCACCGGCUAACUUCGUG
rnacentral:rRNA from 1 species